rnacentral:misc_RNA from 1 species
CCUCCAUCGAGGAGGCACGCAUCCACAGAGUUGCAUGCUUCCGCCUUAGACCGACGAAGACGAUAGCCCCAGGCGUGCGCACGCACAGAUGCGCGCGACUGGAGCCUUCUCGCCCACAUUCCCUCUUCUAUCUGCUGCCGUACACGCUCACCCUCCCGUCCCUCGAGAGGGGGGGGCACGCAAGGAGAGACUGGGGCGAAGGGCGGCGAAUAAGAGGCAGAGAGACAUGUGCAGAUGUUUACCUCGCCCACUGCGUGGAACGAGUUGUACGGGCCGCCGCGCGCACCAGCGCUGCCGCCAGAGGCGGCGUCACGAAGACACAGUCGCGUCUUCGCUGCCGCUACCACUGCUCCCGUUGUUACAGCCCCACCGCACACGCUUGCAGACGGCAGGGUUAGCGGGCCGUUUUCGGGGCACGCGUACCACAGAGCAGUGCCGCCGCCUGUACAUGCACUCUUCGCUACUCCCACGACCAGCGGUUUCUUUCCCGCGUCGUCGCACUACACCGUGGCGUCGCAGCCCGUGCGCUACUUUCCGCUGCUGCCUACACCGGCAGCGGAGCGGACAUAUUACGAGUCGCAUCCGUACACCUCAGCGUAUAGCGGAGACGGUGGUGGAUGGCCACAUGCCGAGAAUGCGCCGACCGAUGAGAACAACUACGAGUUAGCGGGACCUUCGCGAGCAACCGCUCCGUGGCGUCACGGCACGUGCGGCCCGCAUCAGCUGCUGCAGUCGCAGCUACGAGUCAGCGGUACUAUGGGCCCCGGAGCAGCUGGAGGAGUGUUUGGAGCAGGCGCCGCCGCCGCACCAUAUGCGAUGCAUAAAGCCCACUCCGCGGAGAUGGCGGCUGACGCGGAGGAGGCGGCCUGGGAAGGUGGCGCUGCCAUGCCGCACGACUCUGGUAUGCCAGGAGCUCGUCGACCUCUGCGCCGUCCGCCGCCAUCGACGCACGGCAACCCCAUGAGCGACUGCCGAGGAGCGACGCUGUGGCCAGUGGCUCAGUCGGUCUCCCCUGUGGAGCGCGGAGAAGCGGCGAAAGCGGCGGCCCAGGACGGCUCCCGGCUUCACCACGCAGCGUACGCGAGCCGUGAAGGGCGCCGGCAAGCAGCUGUCGGCAUGAAGCUUGCCGCUCACACGCCGCAUGACGUCGAUGGGCGCUACACGGACGGGCAGCUGCUUGCUCCGCCGCCACCACGUCCUCCCUCCCCACUGCACGAGCACUCUGACCACGAGCAGCAGCAGCAGACGCACGAGUACAGCUCCAUUUCGGACGGUGCCCGCCACCUCAACUCAGCGGGGCAUCGAUCAGCCGCUUCGGCCGCCGCCCUCUUUUUCCACUCCCCCUCCGUCACCGGCGGCUUCGCUAGCUCGCCUUGCGCCAGCGGCUCGGCAGCCCUCCGUGCCGGAAGGCGCGCUGCUGCUGCCACGUCCGCCAUCUCUAGUACUUCGACCUUUCCCAGUGCGACAGGAGCGUCGAAGAUGGUUACUCCGGCCGCCUCUGCGGCGGCGGCCCAAGCCGAACCGUGCUGUGUUGCGGCGCUCAUCUUCAACAACGCCAAGGAGGUCGGCGUCGCGCUCUGCGAGUUGCCGUCACUGACCGUGUCUCUCUUCCAGUACGGGGACACGGCCACCUUCUUCAAGACAGCAUCGCUGCUGCACACACGCAACCCAGUCGAGGUGCUUGUCCCAUCGACCGCCGUCGAUAGUGAGCUGGUGCAAACGGUGCUGCGGCAGCACGGCGCCCACAUGACCUUCACAAGUGUGCAGCGCUGCUUCUACAAUGCGGAGGAGGGGGUGCAACGACUGUCGCAGCUGAAGUCGUCGGCCGAGGCGUCACUGUGCAUUGAGGACACAGACCGCUACCUGUGCGUGGCGGCCGCUAACGCGGUUGUCUUGUACAUGGAGCACGUAAACGAUAUGCAUCUGCUGCCAGGCUCCGUGCGCGUGCGGGCAGAGGCUCUGGAGCAUUACAUGGAGGUCUCCCGCACCACGGCACGUGUGCUGCAGAUUAUCCCGGACACCGCAUGCGUGUCAGCGGCGGCGGCGGCGUCGAUGGAGCUCAUGCGCAACGCAGCGAACGACAGUGAGAGGGCUGACCGGCAGCAGCGGGUGCGCGCUCAGCGAUAUGGAGCGGCGCGGAGGCCGAUGUUUCUCGGCCACGACCUUGCCGAACCGCCACCGCUGCAGACGGUCGCGCUUGUGGACGCCAUCCCACGCGCCUGCACGGUCAUGGGCCAGCGCUACCUCCGCCGCACUCUUCUCCAACCGCUGCGUGACCGCGUUGCUGUUCAAGGCCGCCACGACGCUGUCGAAUGGCUUCUCUGCGAGCCGAGGCGACUUCACAUGCUACGCGUACUUCUGAGACACACCGCCGCGCUUGACCUGGAGCGCUUGACGGCGACGCUGACGCAUCAACCACGACGCGAGAGAAGCAGUGCACAGCAGCAGUCGUACCUGGAGUCGCUGCAGCUGCUCUGGAGCGCUCUGCCCCACCUGGAGCAGCUGCGCGUACAGCUCAAGGCCUACCUGGGGCCGCUGCCGAGAGUGCAGGCACCAGUGAAUGGAGAAGGCGUACCGCCAUCGACGCCAUCACCACUGCCGGGUGGCGGCUCAGACGCGGCAGCGCCGUCACACGAUCUGCGCAGCACCGCAGCGCACCCUUCGGUACUGCACAGCAUCGCCACCGCGCUUGGGCAGUGCCGCUUCCCCGAGCUGGAGACCCUCAUGGGCACCUACCUCGAGCGCUCUGUGCUGCCGUCUGUCGUCGGGCACCAUGAGAGGAGCGCCGCGCACUACGGAGCGCUGCAUAGUGCCGACACAGGUAGCACACACAUCCCGCCGAGCGUGUCGGUGGUGGCGCAGCAGCAGCAGCCACAACGGCCGCGACGACGACUGCGCAGCGACGACGGAGACGCGCUGGCCUCGCAUCAGCACCCGCAGGAGCGGUCGCAGCGCGUCACAGGAGUCUUUUUGCGGCUCCUCCGCAUGUGUUUCCUUGUGCAGGCUCCGCAUAGCGGCGAGCUGGAUGCACUUCGCACGAGGCUGAGCCUCCGCAUCUCCGACAUCACCUCCUACGCAGCGGAGCUGCGCGCGACGUACCGGAUCUUCUCGCUGCGCCUGGAGCCGGACCCGGUGAAGCUGUACUGCCUCUCCUACGCCGUUGCAGAGGAGGCAAAGGCGCAGGCCGGUCCCUUCACGUGGCGCUACGCAGGCGGCUCGCAUUUUGCUUUGUAUCUUUCCGCCCUGCGUGAGCAGCAGCUGCGGCGGCAACAGGAGCAGCAGCAGGGCCAGGGGCGGACUCUGCGUAGUUCUCCGUGGCACCCGCCCACUUCUGCUGGCGACCCCUUCUGCACCGCCUCGUCGUCCCCUCCGACGGAACUGUCACGGCAUACGAGCGAUGCGGACGGCGCCGGAUUCGAGUCGUCCGCCAUUGAUCCUUUCUCCCCUUUCACGUUCGGCGCGAACCACACAGCACCUCGUCAGCUGCGUCGCCGCAGAGUGCGGUGCAGCACAGAGGACCUCGACUACCGCUGCGCCCGGGCGCAGGAGUGCGUCGCCGCGAUCCUGCAGUUGCAGCUGCACAGUGUGCAGCCCCUCGUCCGCGCCAUCCAGCAUGAGUUCCUCGGCUCUCUGCAGGCUACGGUAGAGUCGGUGGCGCUGCUUGACACCCUGCUAUGCUUUGCGCUCUACUCGCUGACACAUCAGUGCACCCGACCGGUGCUGGUCGAGCUACCGACGGGGUCGACGACGGCGCCACGCGUGCGCACGUUGAUGACAGAGCUACCUGGGGAUGGCGAGGCAGUGGCUUCUUCGGGGCGGAGAGCCACCUCAGUCGCAGGCGGCGCCGGGGCUUCGUGGGACAGGGUGGACGAGUACACUGACGCCGCAAGCGCCGCUGCCGAUUUAGGGGGCCAGGGAGGUGGAACAGCGGCAUCCGCGGGCACGUCCGCGACGUCCAGCGAUGCAGCGACGCCGUCAUGCACGCCGCCACUGUCGACUCUUACGGCGCAUACCAUGACAUCGGCGGCGACGACGGAGACAGAGACGCGCCACGCCUCUGAAGUGCGUCUCUUUCUUGACAGCGCGCUGCACCCCUCCGCGGCCCAGUGGCAGCCACCAAGCCGCGCGGUGGCGCGUGCAGGGCUGUCGGCACGGUGGACGGGCGCGGAAGUCGGGGGCAAGGCCAGGCCAGCCAGCGGCUCCAGCGGUGGCCUGACGAUGUCGUGGGGCAGUGGCGGCGGCGACGUUUGUGUCGUCACCGGCCCCAACGCGUGCGGCAAGACGACUCUGCUCCGAAUUCUCGGGCAGUACUUCACCCUUGCGCAGGCGGGCUGCUUUGUGCCUGCACAGCACGCGCAGCUGUUCCUUGCCGACCGCCUCCUUGCCCACAUGCUGUGUGAUGAGCUCCCCAGCAUCACGCACUCUUCUUUCCGACGCGAGCUUAUGGAGCUGAGCGAGCUGACCCACGCCGCGACGGCUGAGAGUGUCGCCCUCAUCGACGAGCUCGGCCGCAGCACUACCACCGCACAAGGCUUCAGUCUUGCUUGGGCCACGGCGCUCCUCCUGAGCGACCGCCGCGUGCACUCGGUGCUCACGACGCACUACCCCGGGCUGCCCAGCCUCGCACGGGUGCGACCGGCGCGCGUCGUCGCUUUUCACUUCCGUGUCACCUUCCAGCAUCUGGCGGCGCGGGACGGGGGCCGAGAUGGCGUGGCUGACUCGAGUUGGCGGGGGCCAGCACGGACACGCAUAACGAUUGCUCGCUUUGGUCACACGCUCUUCCCUGGUCCGUGCCCGCAGCGCUGGUACGGCCUCGCGCUGGCGGAGAAGCUGCACUUUUUCGAGCCGGUCCUGGCCAUGGCGCGGCGCACACGAACAUGCCAAUCGCCAGCGGAGGCGCACACAGAAGAGAAUGAGGUGUGAAGCAGGGAUUCGGGUGGUGAAUGGGCUGCUGGGAGGGGAAUGGGUGUGGCGCCCCGUAAGCCGGCCGCUGCGAGACAACGCUGCCACUCAAGUUGCAGCGAUGCCCAUAUGCGUGUGCGCUGUGCGCGUCUUCGAUGCACGGAUUGGCCAGUGACGACCUCAGCCGAUCUUUUCUCCAGCUCAGCCAUCCCCUCCUUCUGGAGCCGCGCCCGCUGCCCAUGGGAGCACCUCCCUCCCCCGCGUCGCUUUUCGCCCACGCGCCACUCCGCCACGUGGGCGCGCAUUCGCUUGCUCCUUUUUUUUGACUGUGCUUCGGCUUCUCGCUUCCUGCUUCGCCACCGCUGUUUCCAUGAACCCCUCCCCCCACCUGCCGUUGCUCGGGUGACGGUUCUCUAUGCCUGAGAGACACCAUCCCCUGACAGUGCCCCCCCCCUUUCCCCAUCUUGGCCUUGCCGGAUGCCGCUCUACACAGGCACACCCGCGCGGUCGCCUCGACCCUCCCCUAUCCUGCUGGCCGUGUGGGAGAGACAGGCGAAAAAGAGGAGGGGAGCGGCGUACAGCUGCGCAUGCCUCAAGGCAGUGAGGGAGGGCGACAGCCGUGCCGCCGCCGCCUCCUCCCUGCUCACCGGAGGUGUGCACUCGUUUAUCUCCCGCCUCCCUCCCCUUCGUCCUCGUCUUUGCAG